rnacentral:rRNA from 1 species
AUGGAGCUUCAAACACUUAAGUUACUAUCUUCUUUAUAAAUUAAUCUAAAGACUUAACCAUUCUAAUAGUAAUCUAACUUAAUGUUUUCGGUUGGGGCGACCAAGGAGUAAAAGAAAACCUCCUUACCGAUUGAGUAUUUUUACUUAAAAGUCAGAACGACAGUUCUGAUUAAUAGAAUGUCUAACGAAUAAUGACCCA